UUAAUUAACCAUAGUAAGGCACAAACUCAAAAAAUUAGCCACCAUAUUCUUGCAUACAAAGAAGCAAAACUCUAUAAAGCAGCAGUGGAUUUGGAUUGGUAAAAUCCACGAAGUUCAACUAAGGCAAGCUAAGAGUUUGACUGACUUAUGAAAAUAUGUUCUCUAUUGGCUUCUAUGGGUAAUUUGCAGGUAUUAUGUGUAUAGUUUGCUGUUGGUCCCUGAGGUGAAGUAACUCCACAAUACUAUAGCAACAAGAGCUACCCAAUAAUUCCUCUAAUGGGUUCAGCCCAGUUGUUAAGAGCCUGAAAAGCCGGGCGUUUGAUCCUGUACAGAGGUGACCAGCCAACUUCAUCUAAUGCAAAUGGCUUGUCAGCCUACACAACAUGGACCCAUCUAUUAGUUGGCCAGUUAAAGGGAUGGUAAAUCUAAGCUUAAAUGGUACCCUUCUUUCUGUGGGAAAUAGGUACUCGAAAACACUUGGGUAGCACUAAAUUUUCAUAUAAAUAUGAAAAGGAUGUCAUAUUAAUACCGACACAUAGUUGGUGCGAGGCCUUUUCUUCUUUCUAUUCUGAACUCCAUGAGCAGAACUAUGUUUGUAUUGCUGUAUUUGAGACCUACUUGCAAUUGCAAUCAACCGGCAGCUAAUAAUUAAAUAUUGACCAUCGAUAAUUAUGGAAGAUCUAAAGAGUAACUAUUAGAAAUCUUAAUGCUUAGCAUUUUAAUUUUAAUUUUGAAUUCCAUUCGCCAGGCUGUGGAAAAAAAGAAAUGCAGAAUGAAGGCAAUGAUACAACAACUCACUACAAACCAUAAGAUGGAAAACUUCAUUUCAAAAACUUGGAUGCUUUUAAUUACAUUCCACUUCCUGUUGCAGAUUAUACUUCACAUGGGAAGACAAUGGUAUCUUUUGUCAGGUAGCAAACGACUUGUUUCAUUUCUCAACGUCACAAACAGCACAACUAUGUAAGGGCAUGCACUGCUUGCACUUCACCCUGAGCACGUAUAUUAAACUUCCAGCCAAAGAAAAAGUACGAAAUUCCAACAGAACAGCUCUUACAUGGAACUAGGAUACCCCAUGGCUUGAGCUCUACUGCUGGGGGUCUUUCACUAAUAGGCCUGUAUAAACGAUUAUGCUUUGGCUAUAGUGUCUGAAUUGCUGUGUUUUUGGGCUCUCUAUUUGACCUGUGAGUGGCAAUGAAGCGUUUGGUAAUUAUGUUCUGCUCUGUUGCGUUGGCUUUUACCUCUGUUCAUUCCUUCUGGUUACUGCUGCGUUGGCUUCAAGUUCUGUCUUCCCCUUCGCUGAAGCUUUGGUUCCUUGUCUCAGCUGGAUACUGUUUGUUUACUGUUUGAGUACUGGUAGUUUGUUCUUGAAGCGUGAUGAUUUUGACAAUUCUGCUAAUUAUAUCAUGUCAACCUUCUUGCUAGCAACUCGGCUCAUUUAUCCCCACUAAAUUACUGUUGUGACAUGUUCUGAACUUCCAUAUUCAGCUGUCAUACUUGGAUGGGCUGGGUUUUAUAGUAUGGUCGGGCUUCAAUCUUCGAACAAGAUAUUGUUCUCA